CCCAAGCACAGCACCUGGCACAGAGGAGGUGCUGGAUAAACUUGAAUAAAUGAAUCGAUCAAUCAGUCAACAGCCCAUCACUACCCAGGGCCAUUUUGCACACCUUCCAGGGCUGGCCUGAGGCAAGCAUGCCCACACCCCUCUGCUCAUGCCCCUCAACCCACUGCUUCAUAUGGCACGGCCCUGCUGGGGACCAGGACCUGGAAAUGAACAUCAGAGGAGGAAGGCCUCAGUGUGGAAGGGUAUCAGCCAGCAGGCAGAAUCCAAGGAGAGGGAAGAGCUAAGAUUGGGCCAUCAGAAGCCAGACUCCCAGUCCUGGGGCAGGAACCCAGGGGGGUCAGGGAACAGUCCCAGCAGAAGAGAAGGUGAAUGGGAAGCUUCCCUCCAUCUGCCUUGGCUGCUGCUCAGCUGGGAGAGGCUUCUACAGAGGUGAAGGACUCACUAAAAGCGUAGGGCUAUGUGUAUGUCUUCCCCAAACCCCUGCAGCAGUUCACCAGCCUCUUGGCAGUGGUGCAGCCAACCCCCUGCCCAAAUCACCAAUGCUCUCGGUACCAAUCAGCAGAGGUUAGAUGCGUGCUGGCCUAGUGCGUGCUGGCCCCUGGCAAUGGGCCAGAAGUACAGAAGAUUUGGUGCUGGCGUGACUGGAAGGCUCUCUGCACAGACAUCCUUACGACCCCCUCCACACACAAACACAUUUUCAAGCUUAAGGAUGGGGCUUGAGAAGGUGGUCCAUUUCCCCUGGGCAGCCAUGAGAUGGGGACCUAUGUCCCUCACUCACACUGGGCCAUCCAUGCUGAUGCUGGCCAGGAGACCCACGUUAGCUUCUGACUUUGCCAUCAACCUGCUAGGUAACCUCAGAUAAGCCCCAUCCUCCUCUCUGUAAAGUGGGUGCAAUAAUCCCUGCUCAACUCACCCCACAGUGUUGCCAUAAUGAUCAGAUGAGGUUGUGCCCAUGAAAAUGCUCAGCGAACUUUAGAAUCUACAAAAUGAAAUGUUUCUGAUUAUCAUUCUUGUUGUUAUUAUCAUCUAAGGAAACUAACUCUGCUGCCUUAUUGAAAUCAGCAGUUUCAUCUCCCUUCGAGAUCCCCUUGCUCAGCAACCAUCACGGCUCCCCUUUGCCUACAGGACAAAGGCCACAUUCUGUGGUCUAGAUGUUCAUCUGGCCUAAGCCUACUUUCCAGUUUUAUCUCCCUUGCCUUUUAGUCUCACUGGUCCUUUUGGAGUUCCCCCAGCACAUUUUUUGUCUUUCUGCCU
rnacentral:lncRNA from 1 species